rnacentral:rRNA from 1 species
CAAUAGCGUAUAUUAAAGUUGUUGCAGUUAAAAAGCUCGUAGUUGGAUUUCUGGUAGGAGCGACCGUGCCGAACUUGAUUGUUCGAGUACUGUGUUGUCUUCAGCCAUCCUCGUGGAGAACUUUUCUAACAUUAACUUGUUGGGAUUGGGACCCGCGUCGUUUACUGUGAAAAAAUUAGAGUGUUUAAAGCAGGCAUUAGCUUGAAUACAUUAGCAUGGAAUAAUAAGAUAGGACUUUGGUACUAUUUUGUUGGUUUGCAUACCAAAUUAAUGAUCAACAGGAACAGUUUGAGGAUAUUCGUAUGAACAUGUCAGAGGUGAAAUUCUUGGAUUUUGAUCAGACGAACUACUGCGAAAGCAUUUAUCAAGGAUGUUUUCAUUAA